CGCAUGCUGGACGUAUCAGAAGUGCGAAUGCUGACAUGAGUAACGAUAAAGGGGGUGAAAAACCUCCUCGCCGGAAGACCAAGGGUUCCUGUCCAACGUUAAUCGGGGCAGGGUAAGUCGACCCCUAAGGCGAGGCCGAAAGGCGUAGUCGAUGGGAAACGGGUUAAUAUUCCCGUACUUCUUACAAUUGCGAUGGGGGGACGGAGAAGGCUAGGUGGGCCUGGCGACGGUUGUCCAGGUUCAAGUGCGUAGGC
rnacentral:rRNA from 1 species